GUAUCAGGUGUUCCUAAUAAAGUGACCACUAAGUGUAAAGUUAAAGCUGCUGUGUCAGGUGUUCCUAAUAAAGUGACCACUGAGUGUUAAGAUAAAGCUGCUGUAUCAGGUGUUCCUAAUAAAGUGACCACUGAGUGUAAAGUUAAAGCUGCUGUAUCAGGUGUUCCUAAUAAAGUGACCACUGAGUGUAAAGAUAAAGCUGCUGUAUCAGGUGUUCCUAAUAAAGUGACCACUGAGUGUAAAGAUAAAGCUGCUGUAUCAGAUGUUCCUAAUAAAGUGACCACUGAGUGUUAAGUUAAAGCUGCUGUAUCAGGUGUUCCUAAUAAAGUGACCACUGAGUGUAUGAGGUGGUGCAGGUGUUCCUAAUAAAGUGACCACUGAGUGUAAAGAUAAAGCUGCUGUAUCAGAUGUUCCUAAUAAAGUGACCACUGAGUGUUAAGUUAAAGCUGCUGUAUCAGGUGUUCCUAAUAAAGUGACCACUGAGUGUAUGAGGUGGUGCAGGUGUUCCUAAUAAAGUGACCACUGAGUGUAAAGAUAAAGCUGCUGUAUCAGAUGUUCCUAAUAAAGUGACCACUGAGUGUUAAGUUAAAGCUGCUGUAUCAGAUGUUCCUAAUAAAAUGACCACUGAGUGUAAAGUUAAAGCUGCUGUAUCAGAUGUUCCUAAUAAAGUGACCACUGAGUGUUAAGAUAAAGCUGCUGUAUCAGGUGUUCCUAAUAAAAUGACCACUGAGUGUAAAGUCGAAGCUGCUGUAUCAGGUGUUCCUAAUAAAAUGACCACUGAGUGUAAAGUCGAAGCUGCUGUAUCAGGUGUUCCUAAUAAAAUGACCACUGAGUGUAAAGUCGAAGCUGCUGUAUCAGGUGUUCCUAAUAAAGUGACCACUGAGUGUUAAGAUAAAGCUGCUGUAUCAGGUGUUCCUAAUAAAAUGACCACUGAGUGUAAAGUCGAAGCUGCUGUAUCAGGUGUUCCUAAUAAAAUGACCACUGAGUGUAAAGUCAAAGCUGCUGUAUCAGGUGUUCCUAAUAAAGUGACCACUGAGUGUAAAGUCAAAGCUGCUGUAUCAGGUGUUCCUAAUAAAGUGACCACUGAGUGUUAAGAUAAAGCUGCUGUAUCAGGUGUUCCUAAUAAAAUGACCACUGAGUGUAAAGUUGAAGCUGCUGUAUCAGGUGUUCCUAAUAAAGUGACCACUGAGUGUAAAGUCGAAGCUGCUGUAUCAGGUGUUCCUAAUAAAGUGACCACUGAGUGUUAAGAUAAAGCUGCUGUAUCAGGUGUUCCUAAUAAAGUGACCACUGAGUGUUAAGAUAAAGCUGCUGUAUCAGGUGUUCCUAAUAAAAUGACCACUGAGUGUAAAGUUGAAGCUGCUGUAUCAGGUGUUCCUAAUAAAGUGACCACUGAGUGUAAAGUCGAAGCUGCUGUAUCAGGUGUUCCUAAUAAAGUGAGCACUGCGGCUGAUGGAGAGUGAACACACUGACCUCUGCUGGUUGUUUUCAGCUAUUUAUUUUCAGUACUCAGCAGUAAGGGUUAUAUAUAUGGACAAGUUUUUCUGUUAAGAAAUGAAUUAUCAAAACAUAGUUUAUAAAAGUGUAUAGUAAGCAUUACAGAUAUAUGCAUGGAAACAAAACGUUAAAACAAAAGAAGGGUUAUAGUUCCAAACCAAAUCUUUUUCUUCUUCUUCUUCUCCUCUCUAAACUCUACGUGAAAUGCAGGCGGAAGUGUCCACUCAGAAAGCAAACAUGGUGGAGGAGGAGGAAGAUGCAAAAAUAAAAAAUGUACAGUUAUUAUUUCUGUGUAGAUCUAGAUCACAUGGACUCCUACAGCACUUGACGGUCACUGCACGGCUUUGACUUCAUCU